GGGGGGCUGCCGAAUGUGUCAGGGAGCCAUAGCUGGGGUUUGUUCAAGCUUCCAAGCUCAUAAUCAAGAAAGAAGUGGAAUUGACCUUGAUCGGAGAAAAGAAAAGAUUAAAGACUAAAUUGCUAAAAUUUUAUAUUGUUGCAUCAAAGUAAGUUAUGUAUAAAUAAUAGUUAUAUUUUUAUAAAUUGUGAAUUAUGUUUGACAUGUGAAUUAAAUUUGAAUUGAGAUGAUGUAUUAUUUUAUAUAUAAAUUUGUUAUCUAAUCAUGCCUUUAUGCAA